GACGAACGCUGGCGGCGUGCUUAACACAUGCAAGUCGAACGGAAAGGCCCUUCGGGGUACUCGAGUGGCGAACGGGUGAGUAACACGUGGGUGAUCUGCCCUGCACUUUGGGAUAAGCGUUGGAAACUGGGUCUAAUACCGAAUAGGACCGCAUGCUUCAUGUCGUGUGGUGGAAAGCUUUGGCGGUGUGGGAUGGGUCCGCGGCCUAUCAGCUUGUUGGUGGGGUAAUGGCUUACCAGGGCGACGACGGGUAGCCGGCCUGAGAGGGUGACCGGCCACACUGGGGCUGAGAUACGGAGCAGACGCCUACGGGAGGCAGCAGUGGGGAAUAUUGCACAGUGGGCGCAAGCCUGAUGCAGCGACGCCGCGUGAGGGAUGACGGCCUUCGGGUUGUAAACCUCUUUCAGCAGGGACGAAGCGCAAGUGACGGUACCUGCAGAAGAAGGACCGGCCAACUACGUGCCAGCCGCCGCGGUAA
rnacentral:rRNA from 1 species